UACGUACUGUGCGAACGUUAUUCGGAAUCACUGGGCUUAAAGGGUGUGUAGGCGGCUAGCUAAGUAGGGUGUGAAAGGCCUCGGCUCAACCGAGGCACUGCGCUCUAAACUGACUAGCUUGAGUAAGAUAGGGGUGUGCGGAACUUCCAGUGGAGCGGUGAAAUGUGUUGAUAUUGGAAGGAACGCCGGUGGCGAAAGCGGCACACUGGGUCUUGUCUGACGCUGAGACACGAAAGCCAGGGGAG
rnacentral:rRNA from 1 species